CUUCAGUUUAUAAUGUGGAUCAUGCUUCAUAUCAGAGAGCAACUUCACUUCUGAUUGUCCAAGUUUAUUCCCAGACACGUCCAGUUCUCUCAGGUGUGAGGGGUUUGAUCUCAGAGCUGAAGCCAGAGCAGCACAACCUUCAUCUGUGACUCCACAAUAUCUCAACCUCAGUUUCUCCAGUUUACAGUGAGGAUCCUGUAGUACAUCAGACAGCAGAUACACUGAUUUUCCUAUUUUAUUCAUAGACAGAUUCAGUUCUCUCAGGUGUGAGGGGUUUGAUCUCAGAGCUGAAGUCAGAGCAGCACAACCUUCAUCUGUGACUCCAGAAUCAUACAACCUGUAGAGAACAAUGACACACUCUUCACUCUCUCAGUUCAGAUCAGAUCAGUUUAGCAGUGAAUCCAUUAUUAAAGAGAAAAUACAAACUUAAAGCUCGAAUUAAUAUGUUUGAUGGAUCAUUAGACUGAGAUCUAAAAUGUCACAAAACAUGAUCAUAAAACAUCUAAUGUAUCA